rnacentral:lncRNA from 1 species
GAUCUCGUCCCGAGAUCUAGGAUGGCACCAGAGAGAAACAAAAGAGGAAGAGAAGAGGUAAAACUAAGUUGCUUCUUCGACAAACGAGUGAAACCAUGAACCUUGAGAGGUUGAGCAAUUAAGAAGAAAGAGUACAACAGAGAUGAACGGGAUUGCAAACAAUCCGUUAGAAAAGAGGAACAAGGAACAUUACGAGAACUUGAAGGUUGUGAAGACAUGAAUGACGAGCACAAAGGACAAGAAGGAAUUGAAACCAAUCUGGUUGAAACGAGAUAAGAAUGAAUAAGAAUGAUAUAAUUUGGCAGCACUCCGACUAUAAAUGGAAGGAAUUGAACAUGAACUUGAGAAGAUGGGAUGAUACUUGAUGAAAUCAACAACACACUGCCUCCGGAACUAUUGAAAAAAAUGGCACAAGGGGUAAGAAAGAUUUCAGACAGCACUCCGGUUGAAAAGAUAUGCAAGACUUGAUAAGAUGAAAAGAACUUGAAUGAAAACACGACACUCCGGCUAAAUGGAGAAGCAAGGAGAAGAACAUGAUCUUGACAAAACAAGAUGAUGGGAGAAGAGAGCAACAUCACAAUGUCUUCGGGACGAAAGAAUAGAAGCUAGAUCAUUGUGAUAAAGGGGACGGAGAAGGAAAUGACAAUUUCUGCCACAAAUGAACUUGGAAAGGAUCCUUGCAAAGUACUCCCUCCGUUCCAAAAUAGAUGACUCAGCCUUGUACUAAGUUUAGUACAAAGUUAAGUCAUUUAUUUUGGAACGGAGGGAGUAGGACUUAACGGAGUUGUUGGAAAAUCAACAACAAAAAGCACAAGCUUGUUGUGGGCUUAUGGAAAACAUCUCAACACUUGAGGUGAAAUUCUGCCACUAACGAAAAACAAUUGCUUGAGAUCAAUGAAGAGAUGAAAAAAUCUCUUUCACCGAGAAGGAUAUGGAGAAAGCUUGGAUCAAUGAUAAGCACCACAAAUACCAACAUUCCCAAUGGAAGGCUUUAGGUGAAAUAUGACAUAAGAUAACUCCAACGAAGAGAUUAAUGGAUUUAAAAUACCUCAUUCUUGACAACUUGAAUCAUGAAGGAAAAUUGUCAAGAGUGACAUAACACCACCUCAAAAGAUAAGGUAGAAAGAGUUGCACUUCGAAAUGCAAGAAGAAGAAUACUUGAACGCCUCAAAACAAAACAUGUGUUAAGCACCAUGUUUAUUUUGAAGUAUGGCUUGACGGAUCAUAACUUCAAGAGAAAUCUUGAAGAAUAAAACGAGAAUGAAAGGAAUCCUUGAUGAACCACCAUGGAGAGCCUCCAUGAAGAACUCCGGUAAUAAAAAGGAUGAUAGAAAGAAAGAGAAGUUGAAAACACAAGGUGAAACCUUACGAUGAUUUAGAUGGAGCUACGAAAUGAGAUAAAGUGGAAAACUUGGAACUCCGGAAAAUAAAAGAAUUGAGUCACUUCGAGGAAAUAAGAAUAAGAUUUAUUGUAUGCUUAUCCUUCUCCAAUUUAAAUUGAUGACAAGCAACAGAUUUGGCAUACUACUUAUUCUCGUAGAAAGGAUUAAGAGAGUUAUAGUGUGAACUUCAGAAGGUAUUGAUGGAACCAUCGGUGGGAUUAAAAAGAACAAAUGAAUUGAUAUGAUAACAAAGGAAGAGAAAUCCUGAACGAAAUACCGUAAAAAUAGGAAAAGAGAGUAGCAAGGGCACAAUUCACCGGGAAGAAUUAGAAAACGAAUGAAGAUACUUGAGGGGAUUUAGAUACAAGAGAGCGAAGAGAUCACGAGCUGAUUAGAGACCACUUGAGCGAUGCACCGGUAAGAUAUGGAGAAGGAGAGCUAAAAGCUGAGAAUGAAUAAACCUGAAAUGAUGGCCUUCGUAGGAAUAAAACGGAAAGAACUCAUGAAAUGCUCCGGAUGGUAAGAAAAGAAUUGUCACAAUCAAAACAAUUAUGAGGAUGGCAUGAAGCUAGAACCAUGAAUCUCUGGAAGAACGGGUAAGGAUUUAAGAGGAACUCUUCUUCGGUCUUCAAAUGUUGAGAAUGAUGAUGAGAACCACCAUGAAUUGUUGAUAUACUCCGGGAGAAUGAAAAGCGAAGAGGUUGAGCCAACAAUGAAAAUAAUUUGAAAGCAAUCUUGGAGAAGCAUGUGACUGAUGGGGUCCAUUCUUACGUCACGCUUAAAAAGGAAUAUGAGAAUAACUCCGGGAGAAUUAGAAGAGUCAGGUAAGAUCCUGGAAAAAGACCUGUGGGUUAGGGCCCACUAAAAAUAAAAUACCGUUGGAAAUGAUUUUACAAGGAGAUUGCACUGGUUGAAUUAAAUGGCUUGAAUGAGAUAAUAAUCUCCAAAUAGCUUGAACGGAUUGAGAAUGGAAACACAAGUCUUCCGAGAUAUCUUCAGCACUCCAGAACAAAUGAAUAGCGAGAAGUGAAAGAUUAAGAGGUGCACCAGUAUGAAAAAGCAUGUGACACGAGGAAAAGAAUAUGAUCAACACUAAAAGCAUGAAAUUAAUCCACCGGAGAAGAAACAACAAUGAAGGACGAUGAACUUGAAACUCAUGAGCAUCUUCACAAGGGAUCACCAGAUCAGAACAUUGAUUGAAAAGAGUGAAGAGACUUCACAUGAAUAAAAGGAUACUUGAUUAAGAAAUCUGGAUCCUUGAAUAAAAAGGGUGGGAGGGCGGGAAAGCAAAGGCAACUUGGGUAUGGAUGAAAUGAACAACGUUGGGAAAAUUAAGACGUGAUCUUGCGAAUGUUGAAAUGAUCGGAUCCACUUGAAAAGAAGCACACCGGUUGAAAAGAAUUGACAUGAUAAUCUCGAUGAUCAAAAGGAUUAGCACUCCCAUAGAAAUAUGAGAACACCAUUUAAGAAAGGUAUGGAUUCAACAUUUGACUCGAAGCAACUCGAAUACCACAAAUAAAACAAAACAAAGGAUUGGCUUGCAUAAUAAGCCGGAAACAAACAUACGAUAGAUCCCAUAUCAUAUCAUGUGUCUGUUGGAAAGAUAAAACUAGAGCUACUUGAAUUCCCACCUAUAAAACUCCCGAAACUUUCUGGUUAUGCAAUCUGGUGUUGGGGAUACAGGGGAAGCAAUAUAUCUCACGCAAACUAACAAUCCCUACAUCCAGCUGUAUCCAUCCGUCAACACAUAACCAAGAAACCUUCGGAAAUCGUGUACCUCAACCUUCGAAGAGCAUUCGUUAUACGAGUUAUGGCAAUACUCCCGAGCUCGCCCCAGUACUGGGUUAUCGAGGUUAUCUCACCAACAACUGCAUAAAAGAGAUUUUCGAUGUCGGCAAAACUCAGGUAUUCCAGAACUGCAACGAUAAAAUUGUGACGACAACACCUCAGAGCUCGACUCCCCGGGUCAAAGCCACAUAAAUAGACAGGAGGCACCAAGAACAAUGUUCUCGUCACAAAACCAUCGAAACGAUUCCAAGAUACCCGCAUGAUCCUAAAAAAAAUUAGUGAAAUUUGAGGAGAGGAAAGUCAAAACAUGUACGUCAGGAGACCUCACCAGAGCGACGAAGGGGGCUGAGGAGUAAAAAGAAUCCUACUCUCCGAUAUAUAUAAUCCUAAGCCUCAAAAUAGUUUUCUUCUAGACUCAACAACGGCCAACAAUCAAGGGGGCUCCUAGGGUUGGUUGAGGCUCUGAUUACCAACUUGUCACGCCCAAUAUGCGACCAUAUCCAAAAGGAACUCGAAGGUCCCACCAAGGAUAAACCCGCAUAUUGAAACGCUUUUGCAAGGUGGAUAUCAUUACAUCAACAUUACAUAAUAGAUGGGGAUACAUACAUAAGGCAUGCAAUGCCACAUGAAUACAACAUCACAAUACAUAAGAGCAUCAUCCGACUAUGGAUGAAUCACAAACAGAAACUCAAAUGACAUCCACCCUGCUAGCCCAGGCUGCCGACCUGGAACCUAUCCCCUGAUAGAAGAAGCAGAAGAAGAAGUCAAUGCAAGCAAGCAUCGCUCUCGCGUCAUGAUCAUCGCGAAACCUGUACCUGCAACUGUUGUGGUAGUAAUCUGUGAGCCACGAGGACUCAGCAAUCCCAUUACCAUGGGUAUUAAGACUAGCAAAGCUUAAAGGGAAAGGAAGGGGUAAAGUGGUGAGGCUGCAGCAGCGACUAAGCAUAUAUGGCGGCUAACAUACGCAAAUAAGAGCAAGAAGAGAAGCAAAGGAACGGUCGUCAACUAGCAAUGAUCAAGAAGUGAUCCUGAACUCCUACUUACGUCAAACAUAACCCAGAAACCGUGUUCACUUCCCGGACUCCGCCGAAAAGAGACCAUCACGGCUACACACACGGUUGAUGCGUUUUAAUUCGGAUCUGGUGUCAAGUUGUCUACAACCGGACAUUAACAAAUUCCCAUCUGCCUAUAACCGCAGGCACGACUUUCGAAAGAUUAUACCCUGCAGGGGUGUCCCAACUUAGCCCAUGACAAGCUCUCGCGAUCAACGAAGGAAUAGACCUUCUCCCAGGAAGACCCGAUCAGACUCGGAAUCUCGGUUUACAAGACAUUUCGACAAUGGUAAAACAAGACCAGCAAAGCCGCCCGAUGCAUGAACAAAAGGGGGUUUUCUGCAAAUCUGUCAACACUGGAUAAUAGACAAAAUCGCCGGUCAGGAAAAAAACAUGCAUAGGCGAAAUCUGCUGGGCCAACAGCAUACAGGAGAGGGCUGGGGGGUCUGCUCACCCUGGGCCAAGGCCCGGUUCGGCGAAGAGAGGCCGGUUUGCUGGGCCUUGGAGGCCGAAUCGGUGGAGGAAGAAGCUGGGCCGCAGGGGCUGCAGCUGGGGAGGCCCACGCUGGGGGGCGCAGCCCACGUGGCCGGCUGGCCCAUGCAUGGAGGCGCAGUGAGCGGGCGAGCUCGUCCUCCCCAUGCGCCCGCACGAGCAGGAAGGAGGACGGCGACCAUGGUAGCGAUCGACGGCGGCUCGAUGACGGAAGGCGCGAAGGAGGCCCUGGAGGCAUGAAUCCGGACGAGAUCCAUCCGAUCCAUCCGUUCCCGGCGCCGCUGGGGGGAUCCGGCGAGCUUGGCGGCAAUGGAGCUCCAUCGGGCUCCGCCAUGGGGGUUGAGCUCCUGCAGAGGAACACAAGGAGAGGGAGGGCGCUGAGAGAGAGGGAGGAAAAAGGACAGAGGAGAGGAGGAGGGCGACAGAGCUGGCCUGGCAUGGCCGUCGAGGUGGCCGGCGGCGGGGGAGGCUGGCGGCGGCGAUGAGGACGCGGGAUCGAGGGGUCCUCCCCUCGAUCCAGAACGUGAGCGGGAGGCGCGGGGCGCUCGGGCCCAGAUCGGUCUGUGGCGGGCCUCCCGCGGGCCUGGCGGGCCGCGGCGGCGCUGGGAGGCAGGGGGACAGGUGGCGCAAGGGGAGUGGGCGAGGGAGGCUGCACGGUGGCGGCGCAACCAAUGGCUAUGCGCCAAGUGGCGGAGGCGAGGUGGCCGGCGCGGAUCUGUAGGAGGGGGCGGCGGCUGCAAGGUGGGAGGUGGCUGGCGGCACGAAAAACGAGGAGGAGGGAGGAGAAGGCCAAAAAUGGCAUGGGGAGGUGUUUAAAUAGGCUAGGGGGCUAGGGUUAGGAGGGUUAGGAGGUGUUUCAGGACCCUCGGAUCACGAUCAGACGGUCCGGAGCGGAGAGGGGGACUAGGUGGCUGCAGGUGGGCUGUGUAGGAUGCCUCGAGCUGAGAAGAGAGAGAAACAGAGCGACCCGGUGGCAGCUUCCGGAUACCGAAAACGUCCGACGCUAGACCGGCUAUAGUGCGGCUAUAUAUUUAAUGGUUGGGCUAUCAAAUGGACUCCGAAUGCAACGAAACUUGGCAGGCGGUCUGUCUACACUAUAAUAAGACCGCACGACAAGUUGCAACCCAUUCCGAGAACAUUUUUAUGCCACUUAUAAAAUAAUAUUUCGGAGGUGCCGCGGGCGCGUGCAAGUGUGUCUGGCUCAGAACGGACAACGGAGAGAAUCGGGGAAACCCGAACGGAUGCAAGUUUUAUGAAAACAUAUGGAUGCGAUCACAUGAUGCUAUGAGAUGAGAUGCAUAACAAGAACAAAAUGCAAAACAAACAACAAAAACCCAACCACGAAGGAAAUAUCAUAUAGCAUCUCCGGAAAAGGCAAGAGUUGGAGUUACGAAUAUGGAAAGUUGUAUCCGGGGCGUUACACUACUGCUCUGCUGGUGCUACGGGGUCCUCUCCUGAAGCGGACUCGGAUCCUGAACUGACGAGGUUAACGGAGACCUCCGGGUUAAAGGUAACACGAUGACGCUGCCUCGAGGGCUCUCUCUCAGGGGCAGGUGUAGGGUGAAGCAUCGGGGCUACAUGAGUAGUGAGAAGUGAAGCCCACUCAGCAGGAGCACUAAGAGGAUUCACGGUCGACACUACAAAAAAAAUACACUUCCAUGAUGAUACGUGUUUGUCAUAGUAGGUCGCGUUUUUUGUCAUGCAUGUACAUCCAUGACAAAUUUAUGACAGAGUCGAGAUAGUCAUACCUAUGCUGUCGUAGAAGUGUUCGAUGACAUUACCAAAAUUAUCAUCAUGGAAGUGUCCACUUCCAUGACGAUAAAUCACACGUCACAGAAGUGCUUUCGUCAAGGGUGACCGACACGUGGCAUCCACCGUAACGGAAUGCCGUUAAGCUAUCGGGUUGGGUUUUGGAUCCGAUAACCCGUUAACAGCCCCGACCAAUGGGGAUUUUCCACGUGUAAAAUCAUCAUUGGCUGGAGGAAACACGUGUCGGCUCAUUGUUGGGACAGAUGUCAUCCACUCAUUGGACAGAAGGCGCCUAUGAUACAUCGACACGUGGCACGGCCCAACAGAGGCCCAUUCCUGUGAAAAGGCCGGCCCAUUUGACUUGGUCAAAAGGUGACGGGCCGGCCCAUGGAAAGCCUGUUAACGGCCUGUUCGCAUAUAGCCCAUUUACAGCCCGCUAACCCAAGGCCCGUUAUGCCCUAUCCGAAUUAGGCCCAGUAGCAUCAUCUGGGCCAUCCAAUAUGAUUCCAGUCUGUUUUCACUUCUGGCCCAUGUAUGGCCCAUGACAUCUUUCGGCCCAUAUGAGGCCCUAUGUAACUCUUGGCCAAUUAACAACCCGUGGUGAAACUGGCCCGCGAUGAACAAUGUAUUACUUUAGACCCAUUAACGGCCCGUGGUGAAACUAGCCCAUAAUGAACAGUGUAUCGCUUUAUACCCAUUAAGGGCCCGUUAUUCAGUUGGGCAGUUUACAGCCCAUGUUAUCUUUCGGCCUUCUCAGAGCCCAUUUAUUCUUGGGCUUAUUUGCAGCAUUCGGUUACUUACGGCCCAUUACUAUCAUUUUCUGCUUGUGGGCCAAAUUCAGCCCGUCGUUACAGUUGGCCUGUUUGUGGUCCGUUAGUCUGCUGGGCCAUUUUCAUAGCAUCACCAAAUACGGCCUAUUAACGGCCCAUUAUGGUCAGCCAAUAAAACAUACGAUUUCCAUUAUAGGCCUGUCUACGGCCCAUUAAAGGCCAGUACAAGACCCAUAAAUGAGUCGGCAGCCCAUGGAUCCUACAUGACGUAGAAGGCCCAUUGACCCUGCGAGAUGUAGAAGGCCCAUGGACACUACGAGACGUAGAAGGCCCAUGGAUCCUGCGAGACGUAGAAGGCCCAUGGAUCCUACGAGACGUAGAAGGCCCAUGGUCGGGCGAGUUGGCCCCCGUUUGAACGAUAUAGCAUAUUCAAAGAAUUAUCCUACUCAAUACUAUCACCUCUAAAAAGCAUACACUAUACAACAAAGAUAUCAAGGCAUAGAAAGGUAGAAUAAUCCUACACUAUACAAUAAAGAAAUUACAGCCGAUUAUACCCACUGGGCAUUAUGGUACGAUACAGGUGAUAAUAAAGCAUACACAAACAUCAAAUUACAUACACUGGGCAAAUACGACUCAUACAUCAUGGACGCGCAUCAACUUAACUCCAUUUGAACUAUAAUCUCUUUAGAAAAUAGGAUUGGCCGGAUUCAGAUAGCACAAAUUUUAGUCUGCAAAAUCUCCAAUUCCUUCACGGUUACCUCGGUGUCUUCUUUCAUUUUUUUGACUCCUGCAUCUAAUACGUGCAUGUCCAGUCUCAACUUGUUGAUUAUACAUUGACAAUCAUGUACACGUUGUCUUGCCACCUCUAGUUGAUGCUCGAGAACAUCAGCACAUUCCAAUUCCAAUCCAUAAUCAUUCAGUAACGGCCAUGCCGCACUGCUCGCAGAUUUUUGUGUUGAUGUCACUUCAUCCUGAAAUGUUUCUGUAAGUACACAUGACUAGGGAAAAAAUAUAGUUACAACAGUGAAGCGAACAAGACACUAUUUUGUACUACAUGGCAAAACAGGACUAACAAUAAUGUUACACAUCACUUUCACACAAAAAAUGUUACACGCAAUGAAGCAUAAGCAGGUGAUAUUUUAAAAAUUAUAAAAAAGAUAGUCUGUGCAGCCUGCAUACAGAAAUCCCUCUUAGCUCACCAGAGGGUCAUGAUGUUGGGGCCCAAUCGAAAACACAGACAAGUUACAAAUUUAGACAACACGUUGCAUAUAAGUAAGCAAGCAGUUGGCCAUUCUGUACCUCAGUUAAAGUCUUAGGGAGCAUAAUGAACAGCAGAGGGUUUCGUACAAACAUACUAUAGCAGGCAAAACUAUGCAAUCAUUAGCAUAGUAUAAACUAGAUUGUGAGCAUCAUGCAAUAAUAGUUGGUUAAUAGACUUCAAAGCUUCAGGCACACUUCGGCAGAGUAAUUAAAUGGUAAGGCCUUUAAUUAUGUCAACUAAUAGUGACACAAGUACCGAACAUCAGGCAUAAUUAUUUGGGCAUCUCAGUAAGUGAGGACAAAUAAAGCAAUUGAAAAGAGAAAAUUAAAUAUGCCUAAAACAAACAAGGAAUUGAACUAUUGAGUUGCAUACAGUGACUUACCUUAGCAGGUUGAAGAGGCUCAGCGCAGCUCCUACUUCUCAUGCAAGGCUCCUUCCUAACAUCUUGUACUUGGAAAUCCUCAAUCUUAUCUUCAUUGCACCCCCUCUGCAAGGUGACAUAAACUAGUUACUCGUCUCCUUGGAAGAUAAAUAUGCAUACUUUCCAGUCUGUGAACACGAAAGGAUGAGAUUAUAACAAAACAACACCACAUAAUGAAACAUGCCGCAUCUCUUGCACUUGCACACAAUGAAAUGAUCAUUUACUAUGUCUGCACUAUGUAAAAACUAGGCAUACCUUCGAACUGGAUCUCCAGGUACUCUUGGAGAGCCUACUGUAGUGUACAGCCAAACCUUUAUUCACCUAUGAGUUAGACAAGGCCCCACUACAGCAGCCCUUAGUGUUUAAAUCAUUGACAAGCUUUGUUAGAGUGUUAGGUCAAGAACAACAAGUAAUCAAAGCAAAGAGUCCUAGUAUGGCUGGCUGAUGCAAACAAGCAAUUGAACAGAUGUGUGAGCAAAUCUUACAUAUCAAGAAAAGAAGCAAAGAAGGAGGCUUAAAGGCCAUCACUUGACUGACCAGAUUUAAGGGGCAUUUAAACAUCAUGUGCAACGUACGAACUAACAUAAACAUUGCACAUUCCAGAUUCUACAAUGGAAUGCACAUGUAUUAGGUUAUGCCAUGUAUGAUGAUGCCUAAAUGUACAUAUAGCAGGCAGCAGUGAUUCAUCAUUGCACGCACAAUUGAAUUGCAGGUUAAGGGCCAGUUCAAUUCCGCCUUUUCAGGGUAUAUUGUCAAAAUAAGCCAUAAAAGAUGUAAAGAAGUCAUUUUUGAGUUAUGGGCUUGGGCUUAACUAAUUUCGCUUUUGGAGGGGGGUGUUUCGGGUAGAACCUCACUAAAAAUUGAAGGGAAGGGGAAUAGUGAAAUGACUCUGUUGUCUGCCUAUAUUACACUCAAAAUGCAACUGCUGACGCCUGUGUCACACCUGACCCUCAAGUAAAAACAAACACGCAAGCAUUCAUUUCCCUGCCCGCUUGCAUCUCCUCUCCCCUUUACCUCUACCUCGAUCCCCUGCCUACAGCACUAGGGUUCCUCCACCGAGCCACCGCCACUGGUCCCAUCUGGCCUGGUCCUCGACGAUGCUAUGUCCAGCUAGGCUACAUGUUCGGCGGGUAGGGGCAAAUCUCCCUGGCUGCUCCUCCCUCUGGCGCCGCGCCUCAUUCUCAUGGUCUCCAGCAGCUGCUCCACUGUGGUUCGUCCAAUGCACUACUCAAGCGGGCGCUGCACAACUACGGCUGAUGCCACACUGCGGCAGAAGGCACCUUGUUCCCCCUCCCCUCCUCCCAGGCCAUGGCCUUGAGGUGCUGCUGAAGGAUGAGCUCAUCCAACAAUGUGAGGGUCUCCUUUGAUUUUUUGCCAAAUUUUCAUUCUGAUCCACUAUACGAUGAAUUGCUAUGAGCUGCUUCUGCUGCUGCUAUAUGAUACAUUGCUAUGAGCUGCUCCUGCUGCUGCUAUAUGACGAAUUGCUAUGAGCUGCUGCUGCUGUAUGAUGAGUUGCUAUGAGCUAUUGCUGCUACUAUAUGAUGAAUUGCUAUGAGCUGCUGCUGCUGCUAUAUGAUGAGUUGCUACAAGCCGCUCCUGCUACUGCUAUAUGAUGAAUUGCUAUGAGCUGCUCCUGCUGCUGCUAUAUGAUGAAUUGCUAUGAGCUGCUGCUGGUAUAUGAUGAAUUGCAGACUGCUGCUACUGUAUGAUGAGUUGCUAUGAGUUGUUGCUGCUGCUAUAUGAUGAGUUGCUACUAGCUGCUCCUACUGCUGCUAUAUGAUGAAUUGCUAUGAGCUGCUGCUGGUAUAUGAUGAAUUGCAAACUGCUGCUGCUGUAUGAUGAGUUGCUAUGAGCUGCUGCUGCUGCUAUAUGAUGCUUUCAGGUGGUGCUGCUAUAUGAUAAUAACCAGCCACUUGGACCAUCGAAUUUCAACAAAUAAUUGUUCUUCAUUUAAAUGUGGGUCAUGCAUUCUUCGUUUAAAUUAGGCAAUGGGAUCUCUAUGGAAAACAUUGGCCAAAGUAGAUUGUGCCAAGUAGAUGGUAUCUUUGUAUUUGCAUUUUGAGCAAAUAGUGAUGGUCUGUUUUCCUAUCAUAUUAAUUACUGCACUGGGUUCAAUUUGUGAUGUUUGCAAGUCAAAUUAAUUUCCAUAUGUGUAGCAAAAUGAAAAAUAUAUAUAAUGCAAUCUAGACUUUCCACUGAUCAUACCAAAGAUAAGCUGAAAACGCAAUGGAAAGAACUGGUUGGCGUAUUACAUGGAGCUUAUAUUCACAUGUGCUUAUUUUCUUAGGAUAACUCGUAAUAACUGUCCCUAAGAAACUUGGUUAAUAGAACUGGCAUACAAAUAACAUGUCACGAUGAUUGCAAUGGAGGAGUGACGUACCAUAGCAUACUGUAUAGGCUCACCGCUGCCUCUUUUUUUUUGCGAUGUUCCAUGAAAUUGCCACAUACAUCUUGUACUUUUUCAUUGUGUAACCCUAUCUGCAAGUUGACACGGCUAAUUUCAGACAUCUCUACAUGAUACUACAUUGCAUAUCCCUUGCACAUAUUUAAACCACCAAUUAACGAUUGUAUGCGUACCAUAAACUAGCCAUGACUCUGUAUGCUGGACUGGCAGGCACUCUAAGGGAGCCUAAUGUAGUGCACUGGAAUUCCUACAUGCCACCUAUGAUUUUGUGUAAUGUACUGCCCCUGUUCCUAAAUAUAUUUCUUUGUAGAGAUUCCAGUAUGGACCACAUACAGAUGUAUAUAGAUGCAUUUUCGAGUGUAGAUUCACUCAUUUUGCUCCGUAUGUAGCCUAUAGUGGAAUCUCUAGAAAGACUUAUAUUUAGGAACGGAGGUACGAGGUAGUAUCAUGUAUGACAUCUACAUAUCUAAUUUAGCAGCCAGUAGUAGAAAUCAUUGUCUGCACAAAGGGAUUACUGGUCGAAAAUCCUGGCAAAGCACGCUAGCAGGCACAGAACAAUACAAGAGAGAGAGACAUGCUUACAAGAUCAUAGCAAUGCCUCAGUCCAGGAUCUUGGUUGGCCAAGCUAUUAGAUCUAGAAGAAACAUCGUCCUUGUAGUUUUUGCCAGCUGCAUAACAGGUAACAGCGACCGGUUAGUAUAUUUGAAGUACAUCGGGCAGGUGAUGCUGGACGGGUCUAAAGGUGACAAGUACCUAGGCCGUGGCGGGUGUUUGGCAUCUCUCCAGACGGUGGGAAUCAGGUUAGAAAUGUCAAGGGUGAUGACGCUGCGCUGGCUGUCGGGGUCCGGUAAGGAGAUCUAGAACCGUCGAGUAGGGUGUUUGUGGAGCAGCUCUGGUAGUGUGGACUAUGGUGUGGGCGAAUCGGAUCUGUGGCCGUGGACGAGGGCGUAGGUGAAGCUGCUCCGGUGGUUGGGUUAAGUAUGGUGUCGACGACGUGGAUCUGCGGCCGUGGACGGGGCGUCAGAAGCUGCUCCGGUGGUUGGGUUAAGGAUGGUGUCGAAGAUGCGGAUCUGCGGCCGUGGACGGGGCGUCAGAAGCUGCUCCGGUGGUUGGGUUAAGGGUGGUGUCAAUGAUGCGGAUAUGCGGCCAUGGACGAGGCAUCAGAAGCUGCUUCGGUAGGUUGGAUGAGGGUGCGAGGAAGCCGAUCUGAGGCCGUGGACUUGUGAGUUGGCAAAGCGGCCCCGGUAGGGUUGAGAAUGUUGAAGGCGAAGCUACUCCGGUAGGGUUGACGCUGGUGUCGACGAAGCGGCUCUGGUAGGGUUGAGGAAGGUGUCGGCGAAGCGCCUCCGGUAGGGUUGAGGAAGGUGUCGGCGAAGAGGAUCAGAGGCCGUCGACGGGGGCGUCGAUGGGGCGGCUCCGGGGGGUGCAGACGAAGCGUCUCCGGUGGGGAGUAUGAAUGAGCCGCUGCAGAUGCACGACGGUUGAUGAGAGUACCGGCGAAGCAGAUCCGGCGCCGUGGACAAGGCCGGCACUGAAUGGGCUGUGGUACAGUGGUGGAUGAGCACUCUACUUGUUUCUAGGGGAGGUGGGAGGGGUAGAUGCGGCCGCAGAAGCAGAUCCGACGAGGUGGACGCCGCUGGCAGUGAAUGGGCUAUGGUAUGCCGGUGGAUGAGCAGUCUAGGGUUUCGAGAGGGGAGGGGAGAAAGGGUGAUGAAUUACGAACGGCGUGAUGUAAGAUGCUCUGGUGCUGUGGAGUUAGUCGUUUUUGCAGGAGGAGGGGAGAGGAAAUGGGGGUGGCGUGUAGUGGGGGGAACCGGAAGUUACCAAAGCAGCCCCGACCUAUCAUGUAGAUGAGGGCAGUAUUGUAGCUGCUGGUGGGAUUUCGCAUGCUAAAGACUAAGGUGGCGGAAAUUUUAGAAGGAGGCGGGAGAUUUUGCCGCCAGCGGGAUCGUUCGUAUCUAGUUUCAACUAAAUUUGGACCGUGCUAGCGAGAAGGUCAUGCUAGACUAUGUACACGGGGCACGCGUUAGCAGUUAAUAACUGGUGUGAAGUCCACCCCAGAAAAAAAGACAAUAACUCGCGAUGAUGCGCCGAUAACUUGGACGUUCACAUGGGCGCGGCCAAUCGUACGGGUGUAGUGGCGCGUUCACAAAAAAGGGAUCAAACGCUCAGCCUAUGUAUUUCUCGUGUAAAUAGAUAAUUUAAUGCAAUUGUUUAUUUACUUUAAACAUAAUGCAUUGACGUGUUAGUGUAGAGGCGCACAAAAAGAAAUGGAUAUUGUAGUUAGCUACUUAAAAGUGUUACCUCAUAUGAUUACAUAGCCUCCAUUUCAUAAAUUGCGUAACCAUUGAAUUCAUAUAUGAAUAUUACAUAUAUAUUACUUCAAAAUAGAAACUUAAAUCAUCGAAGACUAAUGAAUUUGAAUGCAAGAGUAACAAUGGUGCAUGUGCAUGAUAGCUACAUUGGUUAUUUGAAGAAACAUCACUGUAACUUUGGCAUGCACAACUGAAAAAGGCUUAUUUAAAUACAAAAAACAUGUGAUAUGUGAGUGUCCAAUCUUUAUAGCAUUGAAUCGAUAUUGUACCUUUGGCCACGAUACGAAGUAGAUAUUGACUUAUGUUCAAGCGAUGCACGUCCAUGGUCGCUAGAUAGUGAUACGUGAAUGAAUUGUGCAAUCUCUCUCACACGCAUACAUAUCUCAUUUCCCUGUGGGCAUCGGAAUCACACACGCGCACUUCGUGUAUUUCUCUCCCUCUCUCAGGGUUAAAUUCGUCUUUCUACCCUGUCCUACAAGUCUCUCACACAGAAACACACACGCUCUCUAUGUCUAACACGCCCACCCCUUUAAUUCCGCCCACCCAUAGCCACUAAUGUCUCAAAGUAUAAUAAUGUCUCUCACACAUAUGCUAUCUACCUAUCCCUUAAUAUAGCUAGAUAUGUGUCACACAAACUCCUUCUCCCUACUAGCAAGAUGCCCAUGUGCGUUGCAUGGAACAUCAAGAUGCAUUUGUAUGAGAAGUUUAUCUUGUGGGGGAAAAGGAUGAACGAGGGAAUGCCUUGUUUGCAAAUGCGGAGAGGGGUGUGGGUAUCUUUUUGUAAAAUUGCCAUAUUUUCCUUCAUGUCCGUCGGAUAUAAAUCGGAUGUCCUAUAUUGUAGGAUGGCAAGAACACCAUCAUCACCAACUCUGUUUUUUAUAAGAGUAGAGGUAUGUGAGUGUCACGGCCCCCUCCCCCCCCGCCCCACACACUUCCCAACACCGAAGGAGUAGGGUGACAUCUCGAUCUUGAUACUAAUCUAUCGACUGGCUUCUCUCUCAAACAUACACACACACACUACCCGGCACCGAAGGAGUAGGGUGACACCUCGAUCUUGAUACUAAUCUAUUGAGUGGAUUCUCUCUCAAACACACACACACACACACACACACACACACACUACCCGGCACCGAAGGAGUAGGGUGGCACAUCGAUCUUGAUAAUAAUCUAUCGAGUCCUCUUUCAAACACACACACACACACACACACUCUCGCUAGUUGUGCCUCUGUGCCUACCACGCACACUCUCGAUACAUCUUUCUCUCCCCCCAACAAUGACAGCAGAAGGGUGACAACUCGAUCUGAUCAUAAUCUGUCAAUUGGUUUCUCUCUCAAACAUUGUGUCUUGGUGCCUCGCUCGGUAGCCCCCUCGAUAUGUAGACUUCUCGCGCGCGCACAACUAUAGUGACGAUGACACUGAACCCAGUGUGCCUUGUUUUUACCGGCCUCAUGUGAUAGUUUUCACCCUGUUUUCUGUUAAUUAACAAGGCAACCUUUUCUUUGUUACUACUCCCUCCGUUCCAAAAUAGAUGACUCAACUUUGUACUAACUUUAGUAUAAAGUUGGGUCAUCUAUUUUGGAACGGAGGGAGUACUAGUGAAUCUGAAAUCAUUCGGGGCAGACAUAAAACAUAUCACUUCAACCCAAUUAUCGCAGCAACUACUUUAAAAGAAAUUAGCUAGUUGCCCGUGCGUUGCACGGAACAUCAAGAUGCAUUUGUAUGAGUAGUUUAUCUUGUGAGAGAAAAGGCUGAACGAGGGAAGGCCUUAUUUGCGAACGUGGAGAGACGUGUGGGUAUAUUUUUGCAAAAUUGCCAUAGUUUCUUUCCUAUCCGUUAGAUAUAAAUCCGACGGCCUAUAUUGCAGGAUGGCACGCACACCAUCAUCACCAACUCUGUUUUCUACUCCCUCCGUCCGAAAAUACUUGUCAUCAAAAUGGAUAAAAAUAGAUGUAUCUAAAACUAAAAUACGUCUAGAUACAUUUCCUUUUAUCCAUUUUGAUGACAAGUAUUUCCGGAUGGAGGGAGUAUUUGUCUUUUUAGAGAUUUCAACAAGUGACUAUGACCGGACCUUACCAACAUACUAAAAAAAGUAGUCCAUAAUUUUGAUGUUACCCUCUUUUGUUGGCGGUGCAGUGCCAUCUGGAUACCUCAUAAAUAAAUCAAGGACAAAUCUGACCCCUUCCUGAAAAGACAUACGUAGCAAAAUGAGUGAAUCUACACUCUAAAAUAUGUCUACAUACACAUCUGUAUGUGGUAGUCCAUUUGAAAUCUGAAAAAGACAAAUAUUUAGGAACAAAUGGAGUAUAUAUAAGAGUAGACAUGGAGAUAUAUCUCCAGCAUGGUCUACAACAAAAAUGUGCUGGGCUGGUUAGCGCCGGAUGCUCGCAACGCGAUGACAUGAGUUCGAAUUCUGUCAUUUAACUUUAGAUUUGUAUAUUAUAUAUUACUCUACUUAUUUAAUAUAUACUUAUUUCACUACUGUACUGACAGUGGAACCCACAGAGUACUUAGAAUAUUAAGGAUGGACUUGUUUCUUUUUAACUUUCUGUACGAAGCUGUAGCCACCCUGCAAGUCAUGUGUACACUGUACAUGCAAUUAACUUUUUAUAGAGGGACAAUCAUACAGGCAAUUAACUCGAAUGGAUUGGAUGUCACUCUAUUAUUUCCAGCAUAAAGAGCAUCUCCACUGGCAGCCGACAAAUUUCCUACCGCUUCCUUCCGUGGAGGACGACAUCAAACGCCAGCGACAUACAUUUUUACAACUUUAACCAACCAGAUGAAAUUCGUGCAAACAUAGACUGAUUUCAUAUAAGCAUGAAGGAUUUCGUAUAAAAAAGUCAAAUCUUCAUAUAAACAUGAUGGAUUUCAUUACACUUACAUGAACUAAGAGGUGCCAAUCCGGCUCUCUUGUAUAAUUAAUACUCCCUCCGUCCGGAAAUACUUGUCCAAGAAAUGGAUAUAUCUAGACUUAUUUUAGUUCUAAAUGGUUGCCCGCGGAUCCCUUUGCCUCCUCAUGUCCGUCAGACACUUGCGGGGCCGAGGAAGGUCCUCGGAAGAGACAAAGCAACAAAGAAACCACCUGAAUCCGCGGUCGUCGCCUUGGCGGUGGCCUUCAUGGGUCCCAAGUGGCGGCGGCCUCCCGUGUUCUACUUCUCCUCGAUGAUGGCGGUGGACAAGGAGAAGCUGGCCACCGACUGGUCGCUCUCCACGCACCCGGCUUCUGUCUCUGCCUGCAUGGGGCUGCCGCAGGCAUGGGAGGCGCGCCCACAUACACGGGAGGCGCGGCCACCGCAGACACUGGUGGCGCGGUACGACGCAGCAGCGACGGUGCCCGUACCGGCGUGCUCGCCACCGUGUCGGCGUGGAGCAACUCGCCACUCCUCAUCGAGCUGAACUGGAGCGGCGAGUUGCUGAACCACACGCCUUCUUGGGGAGGCAACUGGCUCCGUCGGGCCAAGCGAGGUUGGUGAAGCACCGAGCGGCCUCGCCCGUAUCCAGAGGGCUCGGCGGGCCACCCAGCCGGGUAAUAUGCUGGAGAACGGCUCAUCAGAAGCCAUCGGGAGGGUGGAGAAAAUGGUGAAGGAGGAGAUGGGGGAGCGGCGGAGGGGUGCGAUUCUUGCCCGCUGUCUGUUUGGCCUCGUGUAAAUAGAGGGCGGACGGUAGGAGCUUGGCCGGCGUCUGGCCUCGUUUAACCUGAGUGCGGACGGGAGGAGCUCGGCCGGUGUUGCGUUUAAUUCCGGCCCGCUCAUGAACGGACGUGUGGCCGGAGUAGGAUUCUUGGUUUGCAUGCGGGUUUAAUGGAGGGGUUUAAUGGAGGCGCCGGGCGUGCAGCGGGCGGCGCAGUAUUAUUCGAUUUGACAGCAUUAAUGAACCGUCAAAUCACAAAGGCCCUCGCCUCUCAUGAAACCGACCGAGCUAGACUGCCCCGCCCUCUAGCCUUUUAAAAAAUGUAUAUACUCCACAUUUGUACAGUUGUAGUAUCGAUGGAUUGCGCCAUGGAGCAAAACUUGAAAUUAAAAAAAGGUGGUACAUAUAGAGAGCGCUCAUGAACUUUUAUAGUUUAUAUGUCCCUUUUAUAGUUUGUGCCAAAUUUUGACUAAAGAUUUAACUAACAAAAUGUUAAUGCAUGUCAAGAAAAAUUAUCUCAUUGGAUUCGUCUUUGAACAUAGUUUUGAAAAAUAUAAUGUUUGGUGACAUGUGUGAACAUUUUCUUAGAUUAAUCUAUGGUCAAAAUUUGGCACGAAAUACAAUGGGGACCAAUAAACCCGGACAGAGGUAGUAGUAACAUAAGUGUGGUAACAUGCAAAGCUUCAUUUAUUAGGUUAUAGACUCAUAGUGCAUUGGGACAUGUGAUGUUACAGUAACUAGCCACAUAAGCAAAUUUGCUGAGUUGGACUCGAUGUUACUGCUGAAGUUACUCCCACGGUGGCUACUCUUACUAGUAUUUGGUUUUUGUAAGAUGACUUAUAAUACUCACCUAGACGGAGGGAGUAUUCGAUUUGACAGCGGGCGGCGCAGUUCCCGAUACGCCUUUAAUGCAGACGAGGGAGGGAGUAGCGGUUCCCGAUAUGUUGAACGGCCAAUGCAUCCUCCUUCAAUUAAUGCAUGAGGGAAGUAAUGGGAGGAGGUCCGGGAAAAGAGGCUGCACGAUGUGAAUGCAACGCAGUUUGCCCUCAUUGCCCUCAUAUAAAGGCACCCCUCCUCCAUUCCAAUGCAUCUGCCACAUCGUACGCACCUAAGCACUUGCCUAAGCACCUACACUAAGCGCAAAAGAGCUCGCUCCAGACCCAUGGCUGCGAUGUGCGUGAGCGGCCAGCGGCUGCGCCAGAUGGUCCACGACGCCGGCUUGCGGCAUGGCGCCGAGGAUCGUCUCCCGAUGGUGUUGGAGACCGACUGGUGGAUGGCCGUCGUCGACACCAACUAUGACUCUCAGUUGGACCAGAUGAUCAUUGCCACCAGCAACAAGUUCACCGUCCUCAAGAAGCUCGCGGACGACAUCGUCGUACUCCUCUAGCCCGCGCGCCCGGGCUCCUCAUUGCAUGCCACCCUAAUCGACCUCCAUGGCUGGAACCUCUUUCAAGCACUGGUGGCCCUACGACUGCCCACCGAUGCCAUGAAGAAUGUCCACCUGGAGGUCACACUCGCCGCGAGGCGCCUUGCCCUACAAGAAUUCGUCGACCUACACAUCCACGCGUACGAGCAAAUCGUGUACAUAGGUAUCUACAAGGCCAGUGAGGACGCUACGAUGUUGGCCUUCCUCAACCGGCUGGAAGCCUAGGAUGCAUUUGUUGAGAAGCACCUCGACCUCGCCACAAAAGCCGCCGCUCCUUAGCCGCCGGACCGUGGCCCGUCACACUAAGUUGAGGAGGAGGUCGUACGUUUGUGGAUCCAUCUUUCUUCUUGCCUUCUGUAACCACCACUGCGAUCGCAUCAUCCUGGCCUUAAUUCUUAUUAUGCUAUUGCAUUCUCGUUCCAGUCAAUACCGACAUGUGCGAUCCCUUUGCUUAAUUAUAUGCAUCACUGUAACUAGUACUCCAUCCGUCAAUUUAUAAGUUGUGCUUACCUUUUCCAUCAACUUCGUGCAACACGGGGGCAUCUUGCUAGAAACACUAGAAUAUGUCUAUAUAAUCCGUAUGUGAUAGUCCAUUUGAAAUAUCAAAAAUGACAAAUAUUUAGGUACAGAGGGAGUAAUAUAUUAGGAGUAUAUCAAAACAAUAGUGAUUUCUUUCAAGUUUGUGAACAAAUACUACUAUUCUACUACUUUGGAUCCGUCGCAACGCACGGGCACAUUGCUAGUAAAAGGAAAAGGCCUGCCACGUUCGCAUCGCACCCCCGCACGCCCAGGAAUCGGGAGUACAACACGGCCCGGCUGACAUGAGACAUAGCUUAGGGAAGGCGUGUUGCCUAGCAGUGGCGGAGCUUGAAGCAAAACGUUGGGCGUGCUAGUCUAGCCAGGCUAUAGAAAUUACCCUUGCGUUGACGUUCCAUGCCUCAAAACUGGAUGUACAACUACGAAAAUCCUGCUAGGUUGGGCGGGCCAGGGCACAUGUUGGCCCUAAUGUAGCUACGCCCCUGUGCCUAGCAUUUUCACUUUCAUGUGGGACUGCCCGUUGAGCAAACCGACACCCCGCCCGCCGCCGGGUUGGAAAACAGAAACAAGGGGAAGAUCUAGCUGUAGCACGGAAGCAAAGAAAUUUUGUGUCAGACGGGGCUCGUUGAUAGAGUAGGAGCAUUCCGUAUUAGUACCACUCCUACCAAGUUUGUACUCCUAAUACUAUUAUAUUACUAGUACUACCACUAUACAACUAGUAGAUACGUGCACGGCACAACAUCGUAGGAACAAUACAAUAUGUGCCUUGCUACCCCUGCUGUCACUGGGGAAGGACACCGCAAGAUUGAACCCAAAGCUAAGCACUUCUCCUAUUGCAAGAAAGAUCAAUCUAGUAGGCCAAACCAAACUGAAAAUUCGAAGAGACUUGCAAAGAUAACUAAUCACACAUAAAAGAAUUCAGAGGAGAUUCAAAUAUUUCUCAUAGAUAAACCUGAUCAUAAACCCACAAUUCAUCGAAUCUCGACAAACACACCGCAAAAAGAGUUACAUCGAAUAGAUCUCCAAGAAGAUCGAGGAGAACUUUGUAUUGAGAUUCAAAGAGAGAGAAGAAGCCAUCUAGAUAAUAACUAUGGACCCAAAGGUCUAUGGUAAACUACUCACAAAUCAUCGGAGAGGCCUUCGAGAUGAUGUAGAGGCCCUCCGUGACCGAUUCCCCCUCCGGCGGAGCACCGGCGAAGGAUCCAAGAUGGAAUCUCACGGAUACAGAAGGUUGCAGCAGUGGAAUUAGGUUUUCGUGGUGAUCCUGGAUGUUCUCGGGGUACGUGGAUAUAUAUAGGAGAAAUAAGUAGGUCGGUGGAGCCACGAGGGGCCCACGAGGGUGGGGGGCGUGCCCACCCCCCUAGGGCGUGCCGAGGACCCUCGUGGCCGCGUCGUUUGCUGCUUGACGUCCACUCCAAGUCUCCUGGAUUGCGUUUGUUCCAAAAAUAUUGCUCCCGAAGGUUUAAUUCCGUUUGGACUCUGUUUGAUAUUCCUUUUCUUCGAAACACUAAAAUAGGCAAAAAAAAACAGCAAUUCGGGUUGGUCCUCCGAUUAGUAGGUUAGUCCCAAAAAUGAUAUAAAAGUGUAAAGUAAAGCCCAAAGACAUCCAAAACGGGUAAUAUAAUAGCAUGGAACAAUAAAAAAUUAUAGAUACGUUGGAGACGUAUCAUUACCCUAUGCCUCGAAAGCUCUUGCUCGCACUCCUUGUCGCCUCCCGAAAGCUGCGCCACUACUUCCAAGGCCACCCCAUGAAAGUCGUUUCGGCCUACCCACUGGAGAGGGUGCUCCGGAGUCCAAAUGCAGCCAGGCGAGUUGCAGAGUGGAACAUCGAGCUCGAGGCAUUCCAAUAGAGUCUAGUACCACCUGGGCCAUCAAGGAUGCGGCCCUCACGAAUUUCGUGGCAGAAUGGGCUGACGCCCUUGUUCGUGGAGUGAACAAGGACUAUUCCCUCUUGCUUGGGGACGAGGAGCCAGACGGGUGGAUUAUGUACUUCGAUGGAGCAUUCACAUAACAAGGUGCGGGGGCUGGGGCUGUCCUCAUCUCGCCCACCGAGGACAAGCUCUAAUACGCAGUACAACUCUGUUUUCAGCAGGGCGAGAAGGUAUCCAACAACAUCGCAGAGUAUGAUGGCUUGCUCACUGGCCUCAGGGCCGCGACAGCAUUGGGGGUGAAGCGCCUCACCAUCAAAGGCGACUCCCAGCUCCUCAUCAACUUCUCCAACAAAGAGUACACACCCAUGGACGAGCACAUGGAGGCAUACCUAGAAGAGGUACGCAAAAUGGAGAAAUGGUUCUUAGGCUUGGAACUACAACACGUGCCGCGAGGAACGAACAAGGAGGCGGACGACAUUGCUAAGAGGGCGUCUUAGAGGCUCCCUAGGGAGCUAGGGGUGUUUGAAGAGUGGCUCUUCAAGCCGUCAGCGGCUCCCCCCACCGCUGCUCUAGUACCUCCUCAGGAGGAUCUACCCCAAGCACCAGCAACCGACGCCCCAGCAUGCGUCCCACCCUCUGGGGCCCACCUGCUCCUCGCGCUCGAACCCCCGGAGGGGUUCUAGACAGAGGAGUUCAAGGCGUACCUGCUUCAGGGGACCCUGCCGGAGAAGGAGGAGGACACCGAGAGGGUGGCUCGUCAGGCCACCACGUACUACAUCAGUGAUGGUGAGUUGUACCACAAGAGGCCCAAUGACAUUUCGUUAUGAUGCAUCUCCGGGGAGCAGGGGCUUGAGUUCCUGGCGGACAUACACGGUGGGGAUUGCGGACAUCAUUCCUCAUCACGCACUCUUGUGGGCAAGGCAUUCCGUAGUGGCUUCUACUGGCCCACUUCACUCAACGAUGCUGCUGAGCUGGUGCACUCCUGUGAAGCAUGCUAGUUCCAUGCCAUGAAAAUUCACCAGCCUGCACAGGGCCUCCAGACUAUACCGCUCACAUGGCCGUUCUCGGUCUGGGGGCUGGAAAUCCUGGGGCCGUUCCCUUGAGCGCCAGGGGGCUACCGCUACCUCUACGUCUCCAUCGACAAGUUCACAAAGUGGGCGGAGGUGGAAGCGGUCCGCACAAUCCCAGCUGGAUCAACCAUUAAGUUUAUCAAGGGCCUCGUGAGCUGGUUUGGGGUCCCUAACCGCAUCAUCACCGACAAUGGCUCGCAGUUCACUAGCAACCUUUCCAAAACAUAUUGUGCUAACCUUGGAACGCAGCUAUGCUACGCCUCACUGGCACACCCCAGGAGCAACGGCCAAGCUGAGCGCACCAACGCCGAGGUCUUGAGGGGGCUCAAGACAAGGACCUUCAAGAAGAAGCUCGAGGCCUGCGGCAGGGGCUGGCUCGACGAGCUCCAGUCCAUGCCGUGGUCCAUCCGCACCACCGCGACCAAGCCAACGGGAGAGACGCCGUUCUUCCUUGUCUAUGGAGAUGAAGUGGUUCUCCCACACGAGGUCAAGCAUCGCUCCACGCAGGUCCUGGCUGUCGGCGUUCUGGGAACGGGGGUCCCCAGACUUGCCUGCCUACGGCCUGUAGCUUCACUCAAGUGGGGGCCCAAUGCAGCCCAGCUUCAUCGUCUCAAGCUCAAGACCCUCGCGAGGGGCCAGGCCUCGCGGGGUGGACGACAGGAAGCUUCCUCAGGAGCUGCCUCCUCAGGCAGGCUCACGAGGAGGCAGAGAGAUCAAGGCGGGGUACCUCCCGAGGAGCCAGUGACGCAAGCCAUGACGAACGAAGGCCAGGCGGGCGCCAGGCGGGCGCCGGCCUGCGCAGUGUCCUUGUUUCCCCUUCGGUGCAAAGGGGGCAAGCACAGGCCAAGGCAUCAAGCAAAGGUUACCAUUUCGGUGCAAUAAGACCAAGACCAGCAGAACGGCAGGAUGGAGGUCAUCGUGGAGCCCAGGGCAGCGUUAUCAUCAGGGCCUUUGGCAGCCGAAGACCAACUUUAGUCAGGAUAAGCGUACUAGAUGUUCGCCUUCAAAGUGGCCAAUUGUUGGCGCCCUUCCUGCUCAUUAUUUGGGGAGAGGCCCAGGGCCUUGCUCUAUAAAUAGGACUAGCCACCACAGGGUAGAGGCGUCGAGAAACAGAUCGCCAGACAGAGAGAGAAGCGACCGAACUCACCCAAGCAGUUCAUCGCACCAGCUCAAGAACAGCCCCUCGCGAGGCUGUUCCCCCUUUGUAUUGUUUACCAUCAGCCCCUGAGGCAACCCACCACACCACACACUGGAGUAGGGUAUUACACCACAAUGGUGGCUUGAACCAGUAUAAAUCUCGUGUCUCUUGUGUGCCCAUCUUUCUUGCUUAGAUCUUUGCGGGACUUGAGACGCGAGCUGGUAGGGGAGAUAUUUCUGUGCGCACCCCAGUGUUCGAACCUCAAGGGUCUGUCGAAACCUGAAAUCCGCCAUUUGGCGCACCAGGUAGGGGUGUGCCGGAAUCUUUCUUCCGCUAGUCGCGCGUGAUCUUCCGCCGUGUCCAUGGCUGACGCACGCCGAGCUCGCGCCGAGCGCCGGGCUGCUCUCGCCACCCGCGUCGCCCAGAUGGCGCCUGUCAGCGGUCGCCCUCGUCGUUCCCCGUCGCCUGCCGCCAAUGGCGCCACCGGCCCAGCGGGGAACGAGCGGCAGGCCUUGUCCCUGCACCCUUUGGGGCGGCGCGAUGGCCGCACCGCCACCCCAUCGCCGACUCCAGUCGGUUCGUCGUCCCAUGGCCGCCGCGCCCCCACGGAUGCGCCGCCCGCUCCUAUAGUCGAUGCCGGCACUGGGCCUGGGGGCUCUGAGCCUUGGCCGCCGCCUUGCGGCAGGUGCAGUGGCCGCUCGAGUUCAAGCCCGAGAUGCCGCCGCGCUACAACGGCGCGACGGAUCCGCUGGUUUUCCUGCCGGCGUACGAGGAGGCUGUCCUCAAGGCCGGAGGUGAUGACAGGGUGAUGGCCAACUAGUUUGCCAUGGCCCUCACCGGCGUCCCGCGCAUGUGGCUGCUCCACCAACCGACGACCUCCGUGACCUCCUGGGGGAAUUGCACGACAUCUUCCUCUCCCAUUACGCCGUGCCAGUACCCCCGGUCGUCACAGCUCUCUUGGGUGGCUCUCAGGCGCCACCCUCAAGCCGCCAUGUAAGCCGUUCAUCCGCCAGAUCGGCACCGCCUCUAAGCGCCGAGAAGCCCCCCCGGGCUAGGUGGCGCCCGAGGCCGAUCUGACCUUCAACUCGGACGAUCACCCCUCCAACCCCGCCAGUUCGGGUGCGCUCCCAAUGCUGUGCACCCCCAUCAUCUGCCAAGUGGCCAUCACCAGGACCCUCAUCAACGGCGGGGCUGGCCUCAACAUGCUCUCUGUGGAGGCCUUUAGCCUCCUCCACAUGCCACUAGAGCGGCUCCUGCCCAGCAGGCCUUUCUUGGGCGUCGGAGUCGGUUCCACCGCCUCCUUGGGGCAGAUUCGCCUCCCGGUGACCUUCGGCACCUACGACAACUUUCGCACAAAGCUGAUCGACUUCGACAUCGCCCCCAUCAGCCUCCCUUACAAUGCCAUCCUCAGCUACCCGGCCUUGGCCUGGUUCAUGGCAGCGACUCACCCGGCGUACGACCUCAUGAAGAUGCCCGGGAGUAGCGGUGUCCUAACCGUGUCGGGAGACACAAGAGAUGCACUACAUGCGCUCAAGCUUGCUUUCAAGACAGCCACGGCGGCGCAGCCUGCCAACACUGACACCCUGGAGCCCAAGGGGGUUGCGCCGGCCAAGAAGAAGCAGUUAUUCACCCAAGACAAGGCGGAAACCAAGCAGGUAACAGUCGACGAGGACGGGUCCACUAGUGCCACCUUAACCCUAGGCACCAACCUCGAACCCGAGCAGGAGGAGGCCUUGGUGAAGUUCCUAUGCGCGAACAAGAAGGUGUUCGCAUGGGAACCAGAUCAGCUAGCAGGGGUCCCGAGGGGAGUGAUUGAGCAUCGCCUCAAUGUAUGCCCCAACAUACACCCCGUAAAGCAGAAGGCAAGGCGGCAGUCCACUGAGAAACAAGCUUUCAUCGUCCAAGAGACCCGCAAGCUGGAAGCAGCAGGGGUCAUUCGCGAGGUCCGCUAUCCAGAUUGGUUGGCUAACCCGGUGGUUGUGCCAAAAAAGGGAGGAAAGGAACGCAUGUGUGUCGACUUCACCAACCUUAACAAGGCCUGCCCACAGGAUCCGUUUCCGCUUCCUCGCAUCAACCAGAUCGUCGACUCCACCGCUGAGUGUGACCUGUUGUGCUUCCUGGAUAACUUCUCGGGCUACCACCAGAUCAAGAUGGCGGUGGAAGACGUGGAGAAAACGGCCUUCCUGACCCCGUGUGGAGUGUACUGCUAUACAUGCAUGCCAUUCGGGCUGUGCAACGCAGGUGCAACCUUUCAGCGGCUGAUGCACAUCGCCUUGGGUCGGCAGCUCGGGAGGAAUGCUGAGGCUUACGUCGAUGACAUUGUGGUGAAGUCUCGGGAGGCAAAAACUCUGAUACAGGACUUGGAGGAAACCCUCACGAGCCUCAAUGAGGUGGACCUGCGGCUCAACCCGGAGAAGUGCGUGUUUGGAGUCCCCUCGGGCAAGCUCCUAGGCUUCCUCGUAUCCCACAGGGGCAUCAAGGCCAACCCGGAGAAGGUCAAAGCAGUCGAAGACAUGAGCCCGCCGAAGACCCUCAGAGAAAUGCAGAAGCUCACCGGGCAUGUGACCACGCCAGGGCGCUUCUUCUCCAAGCUGGGGGAAAUAGCACUGCCCUUCUUCAAGCUGAUGAAGAAGAAGGGCCCCUUCGAGUGGACUGAGGAGGCCAACAAGGCGUUCCAGGAUCUCAAGAGGUACCUAACCAGCCCCCCAGUAAUGGUAGCUCCGCGUCCACGGGAGCCCUUGGUGCUCUACCUUGAAGCCACCCCCUACUCCGCCAGCGCAGCCCUUGUGGCGGUUAGGGAAGAGCAUCGGAUCAAGGCCACAACAACCGUCCGGGUCGAAGCGAAGCAAAGCCAAGAAGGCCCCGCAGAGACCGAGACUACAGCCGAAAAGGAUCAACCAUAGCGAGGGAGCACCCCCGGAACAUAAGAGGCCCCUCCAAGCGACCGGGCGCUGGGGGCUCCGUCGUCUCGGGAGGAACCCCAACCUCUGGAGGACGCCAACACUCUCAACCUCGUCGAGCACCCUGUGUACUUCGUCAGCACGGUGCUACGGGAUGCAAGGGCACGGUACCCUAUGCCCCAAAACUCCUCGUGCUAUUGGUGGCCUCACGCAAGUUGCGGCACUACUUCCAAGGCCAUCCCAUCAAGGUCAUCUCAGCAUACCCCUUGGAAAGGGUACUCAGGAGCCCCAACUCAGCUGGAAGAGUCGCUGAGUGGAACAUCAAACUACAAGCGUUUCAGCUAGAGUUUAGCACGACCAGAGUCAUCAAGGGGGCUGCACUUGCAGACUUCGUGGCAGAAUGGGCAGAGGCGCCAGGCCUCGAGGCUGGCGAGGAUCGAUCACUUUCCCCAGGAAGCGAGGCACCGGACGGCUGGGUCAUGUACUUCAACGGGGCAUUAUCCCGACACGGUGCGGGGGCUGGCGCGGUGCUCGUAUCUACCACUCAGGACAAGCUCUACUACGCCGUACAACUCUAUUUCCAGCACGGAGAAAAGGUCUCCAACAAGAUAGCAGAGUACGAAGGCCUGAUAGCAGGCCUGGAAGCCGCAGUCGCCUUGGGGGUAAAGCACCUCACCAUCAAGGGUGAUUCACAACUCCUUAUCAACUUCUCCAACAAGGUAUACGAGCCAAAGGACGAGCACAUGGAAGCCUACCUCGCGGAGGUUCGCAGGAUGGAGAAGCAGUUCUGGGGGCUAGAGUUGCAGCAUGUGCCUCGCGGCACCAAUCAAGAGGCUAAUGACAUCGCCAAGAGGGCAUCCAGGAGGCUGCCUCGGGAGCCUGGCGUCUUCGAGGAGCGACUCUUAAAGCCCUCGGCGGCACCAUCUCUAUCAAGCACGGCGCAACCUUGGGAGGAGCCCCCUCAGUCGCCUGCUUCGGGAGCCCCGGUCUGUAGCCCGGCCUCGGGGGCACGCCUGCUCCUGGCAUUGGAGCCUCAAGAAGGAUGCUGGAUCACAGAGCUCAGGAACUACCUGACACAAGGGACCCUGCCGGAGAAGGAGGAAGAAGCGGAGCGCGUGGAGUGGCAGGCCAUGGCCUACUGCAUCAAGGAUGGAGAGCUCUACCGGAGGCGACCAAAUGAUGUGGCCUUACGUUGCAUUUCCAGGGAGCAAGGGAAGGAGCUAUGGCAGACAUACACGGUGGAUACGGUGGGUAUCACUCAUCAUCACGGACCCUCGUUGGCAAGGCGUUCCGCAGCGGGUUCUAUUGGCCCACGACACUCGGUGACGCUCUGGAGCUGGUGAAGGCUUGUAAGGCCUGCCAAUUCCAUGCCAAGCAGAUCCAUCAGCUGGUGAGGGGGUGUGCAGACUAUACCCUUCUCAUGGCCAUUCACAGUUUGGGGGCUGGAUAUCCUGGGCCCAUUCCCUCGGGUGCCAGGGGGCUAUCGCUAUCUCUACGUUGUCGUGGACAAGUUCACCAAGUGGGUUGAGGUGGAAGCUGUCCGCACCAUCCCCGCAGGCUCCGCAGUCAAGUUCGUCAAGGGCCUCGUGAGCCGAUUUGGGGUUCCUAACUGCAUCAUCACCGACAAUGGUGCGCAAUUCAUCUAUAACCUCUUCAAAACGUACUGUGCUAACCUUGGAACGUAGAUAUGCUAUGCUUCGGUAGCACCCCCCCCCGGAGCAACGGCCAGGCAGAGCGAGCCAACGCGGAGGUCCUGAGGGGCCUCAAAACUAGGACCUUCAAGAAGAAGCUGGAGGCCUGCGGCAGGGGCUGGUACGAUGAGCUCCAGGCUGUGCCGUGAUCUAUCCACACGACCGCGGCCAAACCAACUGGCGAGACUCCAUUCUUCCUCAUCUACAGAUCUAAGGCCGUCCUCCAUCACGAUGUCAGGCGUCGUUCCGCACGGGUCCUGGCGUUCGACGAGGCACAGCAGGAUGCCAUGCGGGGGACGGACCUCGUGCUGGGAGAGGAAAACCGUCAGGAGGCCACAUUACGAGCGGCAAGGUAUCAAUAGGCGCUGCGGCGAUACCACUGUCGCAACAUCCGCCCCAGGACUCUUGAGGUAGGGGACCUCGUGCUCAGAUGGGUCCUCUCCAGGGAGGGGUUGCACAAGCUCUCUCCCAUGUGGGAGGGCCCGUUCAAGGUUGUUCCUGUUUCCAGGCCCGUCUCCGCGCGCUAGGAGACCCAGGAGGGAGUUCCCAUCUAGAAUGCAUGGAACAUUCAAUAUCUCCAGAGAUUCUACCACUGAGAAAGGCUCGGUGCCUGUGAAGAAGGCCAACGCUUGUGAAGCUACCGCAUUUUGGGAAAGGCUCGGUGCCUGUGAAGAAGGCCAACGCGUGUGAAGCUACCGCAUUUUGGGAAAGGCCCGGUGCCUAUGAAGAAGGCCAAUGCCUAUGAAGCUACCGCAUUUUGGGGGAAGGCCCGGUGCCUGUGAAUAAGGACAAUGCCUGUGAAGCUCGCCGCCCGUGACACUCUCACGUAAUAAUGAGUGGGGCUGUACACGCCUCGGAGUCUUCGGAGUGCCGCCCUCAGGCCUCGGGGGCUCCCGCCCAUGCCCAGUGGCAGCACUUAGCUCCGCGCUGGUGAGAAGACGUCGAAGACUAGAUUAGGUGCCGGACAUGGCUUUUUCAUUUGCUUUCUGCAGUUGGCUUGUUCUUUCCUGUUUGAAGUUUUAUCGAAGCUGUCGCCGCCUUUGGCUGAAGACCCUUUAUCUUUUGUUUGCUCACUUGCCUCGAUUUUCCCUCACGCAAGUCUCGCGAGGGAGGUAUGCUGGUACCCUCGCGAGUGUUUUUCGCCCCGGUCAUUUGAAGCUCUCCUAUCCGAGUCCGCAUGGGGCGUACCACUCCCAGUCCUUACCCCACAGGCAUCGCGACGCGAGCAUGGGACCUGAGUCGGUCGCCCCGCAACCGAACCGGAAGCUACCCCUCUUGACUAACCCUUGCAGGACAUAAAGUGCACAGGGAGGCCUCGGCCUCGGGAGGCGAAGGCCGCUACAAUCCUCCCCGGGUUAAGUAACUCCUGUGCACGAGCACGCGGCAUGGAAACGUAGCACGGAAAUAGCAGAAACAACACGACAAUAAACAGUAACAGUUCAACAUGCCCCUGCGGGGCCCUACACUACUUCCUCUUUUUGCGCAGGAAAGUAAGAAAGGCAAAACAGGCAUGACUAGCUCAGCACCAGCUCACGACGAGGGCCCGUACUACCUCCGAAGCUCGGUCAGAUUCCCUCCUCUCGCUUCACUGAGGCACGACGGCGGACCGACCCGCCACCUUCCCCCAAGCGGGCGCGACGACGCGGAGGCUGGUCGCGACCCCCACUUGAGGAGCUGCUGUCUGAAGGAGAGUCGCCAAAGCUUGGCGAACCCCGGGUGCCACUGCCCACGUGCCUGCCGCCAUCUCCAUCUCCGAUCAACGCCGACGCUGGGCGCCCUACCGCGGUCAUCAUCUUCAGGGCAGCACCCGGCACGGCGACCGUCUUCCCCGAACACCCCACGUAUAGGGUGGCGUCGCCAUCGAACCUGAAGUGCAGGGUGCACCGCCGGCUCAGGCCACGCACACGGGCAAAAGUUUGCCAGCCGCGGGUCAGGGCCAAACCCCUGGCGGAAGAAACCUCCAGCGAAGCCCAGGAGGCCCUGCUGCAACAGCCAUCCGCCUGAAGCCAAAGGUCGCCCAGAGCGCCGGCCGGAAGUUCACCUACGAAGAAGUGAGGAAGCUGGAGCCAAGUGCUGGUCGGGUCCGCCGAUCACACGACGAACUCCGGCAGCACUUCUGCCGAGCGGAAGCGCGGCCUAGGGGGUCACGCAGGCACGGCGUGUGUCACGCCCAAUAUGCGAUACUAUCCUAAAGAGACUCGAAGGUCCCACCAAUGAUAGAACCGCAUAUUGAAACACUUUUGCAAGGUGGAUAUCAUUACAUCAACAUUACAUAAUAGAUGGGGAUACAUACAAGAGGCAUACAAUGCCACAAGAAUACAACAUCACAAUACAUAAGAGCAUCAUCCGACUACGGAUGAAACACAAACAGAAACUCAAAUGACAAUCACCCUGCUAGCCUAGGCUGCCGACCUGGAACCUAUCCCCUGAUCGAAGAAGAGGCAGAAGAAGAACUCCAAAACAAGCAAGCAUCGCUCUCGCGUCAUGACCAUCGCAUAACCUGUACCUGCAACUGUUGUUAUAGUAAUCUGUGAGCCACGAGGACUCAGCAAUCCCAUUACCAUGGGUAUCAAGACUAGCAUAGCUUAAAUGGGAAAGGAAGGGGUAAAAUGGUGAGGUUGCAGCAGCGACUAAGCAUAUAUGGUGGCUAACAUACUCAAAUAAGAGCGAGAAGAGAGCAAGCGGAACGGUCGUGAAGCUAGCAAUGAUCAAGAAGUGAUCCUGAACUCCUACUUACGUCAAACAUAACCCAAAACCGUGUUCACUUCCUGGACUCCGCCGAAAAGAGACCAUCACGGCUACACACGCGGUUGAUGUGUUUUAAUUCGAAUCAGGUGUCAAGUUAUCUACAACAGGACAUUAACAAAUUCCCAUCCGCCACAUAACCGCGGGCAUGGCUUUCGAAAGAUAAUACCCUGCAGGGGUGUCCCAACUUAGCCCAUGAUAAGCUCUCGCGAUCAACGAAGGAUAUACCUUCUCCCAGGAAGACCCGAUCAGACUCAGAAUCCCGGUUUACAAGACAUUUCUACAAUGGUAAAACAAAACCAGCAAAGCCGCCCGAUGUGCCGACAAAUCCCGAUAGGAGUCGCACGUAUCUCAUUCUCAGGGCACACCGGAUGAGCCAGAUGUCAGGUUGGCAUAGACCCUAAUUGCCCAGGGGGCACCGGACAUCGCUCGGUUUGGACCAGCACUCGGAGGAGAACUAGCCCGGGAGGGUAAAAUAAAGAUGACCCUCGGGCUCCGGAAACCCAAGGGAAAAAGGGCUAGGUGAGGCAAAUGGUAAAACCAAGGUUGGGCCUUGCUGGAGGAGUUUUAUUCAAAGCGAUCUGUCAAGGGGGUCCCAUAAAUCACCCAACCGCGUAAGGAACGCGAAAUCCGGGAACAUAACACCGGUAUGACGGAAACUAGGGCGGCAAGAGUGGAACAAACAUAAUCCUGUCCAUGAUGGGGCAAUCUUCAACUUCACCUGCAACUAACAACGCUAUAAGAGGGGCUGAGCAGAGCGGUAACAUAGCCAAGCAACGGUUUGCUAGGAAUGGUGCAAAAGGUUAGAGGCUGACAUGGCAAUAUGGGAGGCUUGAAGAGCAAAUGAUAGGUAGCACAACAUAUCGAUAGAACGAAGCAACUAGCAUAGCAAUGAUAGUAGUGAGAUCCAGGGUAGCGGUCAUUUUGCCUGAAAUCCCGCUAGGAAGAAGAACGAGUCCAUGAAGUAGAUGAACCAACGUAGUCGAACGAAUCCUCACAAUCGCAACAUUACCGGAACUAAGAAGCAAUACCGGAAAGAAACAAACAACAUGGUAAACACACAAGCAUAAUCAUGGCAUGAUGCACAAUCAAGUAUGAUGCAUGUCCGGUUUAAAGAGGCAUGGCAUGGCAAUGUGCAACAAACAAUACUACAAGUUAAGUGGAACUCAAUAUGCAAUGAUUUGCAUAUUGAUGAAACACCACAUUCAAGUUAUUUAGUUCGCUCUCGUUUAGGUACUCAACAAUAUUAAAUGUUGUUAAACAUGGCAAGAGGUGGAACUUUAGUAAUCUAACUAUUUAGGCAAGUUUAAAUGAGGCCAGAAUAACAAACAACAAUUCCGGAAAAUCCCCAUAUGCAUAUUUUAGAUUCGGUACUGUUCUGCCCUAAAACAUAUUUUAUUGUUAUUAAAUAGGAAAAUAAAGUCCACCAUGUUAAACUAGGCAUUUUUCCACCCCAUUUACAUAUAAAGUUUAUUGAAUUUGGAGCUACGGUUAUUUAGUUAUGAAAUAAAUCAUUUUAGCAUGGUAUUUAUGCAAAAUUAAAUAAAUAGCAAGUUUAAACAUAUUUAACAUGGAUGAAAGUGGAAUUUUAUUAAUCUACACAAAAUUCUAAGCAUUUUACAUAUAUAAAUUAUUUACAUAUGAUGCACCAUUUGUGAGUUAUUAAAUGCAUGAACUCUAGGGGGUUUUCUGCAAAACGGGUUUCCUGUGGAUAAUGCUAAAAUCGCAGACAAGGAAAAAAACAUGCACGGGCCGAAUCUGACUAGCCCAAUAGAGGAAAGGCCAGGGGUGCUGCUCACCCAUGGGCUUGGCCCGGGUCGUUGGAGUGGUUGGGCUUGACUGAAGAAGAGGCCGGCCGUGACGAACUGGGCCUGGCCGAGGCGGUUGCUGCGCGCACGCGGUCAACGCACGGCUGAACCGAGCGAUGCAGGCGCUCAUUCUGCUUGCACUAAACAGGGGCACCAGUGGCUGGGAUCUGAGGUCCGGUGAGCGGGGCAAAGGGGCGGCGAGGCGAGGGACUUGGCACUCUGGUCGCCGCUGAAGACAGCGAGGAAGCCGAGCCCGAUGUGGAGCAGGGUCUUGGCGUGGCGGCGGUGCUGUUCGGGCGGCGGAGCUCGUCGCGGAGGGGCGGCGCGGCAGUCCGUGGUGGUUGGAGACGAGGCGAGGUGGAGGAGCACUCGGGCGCUCGGGCACUGCUGCUGCUCCAGGCGGCAGCCAUGGUUCCCUGCGAGGAACAACGCACGGGGGAGGCGCUGUGAGAGAGAGUUCAGGCAGGAGGAAGAGAAGAGAUGGGGCUGCAAGGGGGGGUCCUGCUAGAGGUGGUCGUCGGCAAUGACGAGGGACUCGAUUGGGAGCUCCUCUCCCGUUCCAGAUCGAGGAGGCUGGAUCGGGGCCGGGUUUGGUUGGCUGGGUGGGGAUCGAGAGGUGGCGUCUGGUUGGUGGUGGAGGAAAACAAGGAGAGGGCUGGUCUGGCGGCGGUGAAGGGACAGAUCCCAUAGGGAUUAGGGUUAGGCGUUUAUUUAUACAGUAAGAGGAUUUGGACAGGGGUUAAUUCGGUCCCUCCGAUCAAAAUCGAAUUGCCAAGAAUAAAUAGGUUAGGGAAGGCAAGGAAGAAACCGAGAUAUUUUAGGGAUGUUGGAGGAUGAUCCGGACCCAACAGUGAAGACUGAGCGGGUCGGGUUCGGGUAAGUCUCGGACGCGCGCGCGAGGGGUCUGUGGUUGUGCAAAGAGGGGUUAGGUGGUCGGACCAAAGGGAAACGAAAACACGAUUGGUCUCGGGGCGGUCAACAAAGUAAGGGGGGACGCGGCCACUACGAGCGGAUGCAAGUUAAAAAAAAACAAUGAUGGCAACGAGUGCCGAUGCAAUGCAAAUGAUGCAAUGAUGGAAUGCAUGACAUGAACAAAAAUGCAAAACAAAAUACAAAAACCCAACCACGGAAGAAAUAUCAUAUCGCAUCUCCGGAAAAGGCAAGAGUUGGAGUUACGAAUGUGGAAAGUUGUAUCCGGGGCGUUACAACACUCCACCACUACGAGAGGAUCUCGUCCCGAGAUCUAGGAUGGCACCAGAGAGAAAAGGAAGAGGAAGAUAAGAGGUAAACUAAGUUGCUUCUUUGACGAACGAGUGAAACCACGAACCUUGAGAGGUUGAGCAAUUUAAAAGAAAGAGUACAACAGAGAUGAACGAGAUUGCAAACAAUCCGUUAGAAAAGAUGAACAAGGAGUAUUACGAGAACUUGAAGGUUGCGAAGACAUGAAUCAAGAGUUUAA